AUUGAACGCUGGCGGCAUGCCUUAUACAUGCAAGUCGAACGGCAGCAUGAUCUAGCUUGCUCGAUGGAUGGCGCGGGGCGCGCGUGAGAAAAAUACAGCUGAACGAGCCCUGUAGCGGGGGUUAACUAGUCGAACGAUUAGCUAAUACCGCAAACAACCUGAAGGUGAAAGUGGGGGACCGCAAGGCCUCAUGCCAUACGAGCGGCCGAUGUCUGGUUAGCUAGUUGGUAAGGUAAAGGCUCACCAAGGCGACGAUCAGUAGCUGGUCUGAGAGGGCGAUCAGCCACACUGGAACUGAGACACGGCCCAGACUCCUACGGGAGGCAGCAGUGGGGAAUUUUCGGCAAUGGGCGAAAGCCUGAUGCAGCAAUGCCGCGUGAGUGAAGAAGGCCUUCGGAUUGUAAAGCUCUUUUGUUAGGAAAGAACAGGCUUGUGUUUAUCUCUGCGCUCGUUGACGGUACCUGAACAAUAAGCCCCGGCUAACUACGUG
rnacentral:rRNA from 1 species